GUGAGGAAUAUUGCGCAAUGGAGGCAACUCUGACGCAGCCAUGCCGCGUGCAGGAAGAAGGCGCUACGCGUUGUAAACUGCUUUUAACCGGGAAGAAACCCCAGGACGUGUCCUGGGUUGACGGUACCGGAGGAAUAAGCACCGGCUAACUUCGUGCCAGCAGCCGCGGUAAUACGAAGGGUGCAAGCGUUAUCCGGAUUCAUUGGGUUUAAAGGGUGCGUAGGCGGAGCGUUAAGUCAGUGGUGAAAUCCUGCAGCUUAACUGUAGACUUGCCAUUGAUACUGGCGCUCUUGAGUGCGCUUGAAGUGGGCGGAAUGUGCCGUGUAGCGGUGAAAUGCUUAGAUAUGGCACAGAACACCAAUUGCGAAGGCAGCUCACUAAGGCGAUACUGACGCUGAGUCACGAAAGCGUGGGGAUCGAACAGGAUUAGAUACCCCAGUAGUCC
rnacentral:rRNA from 1 species